GAUGAAGAACGCAGCGAAAUGCGAUAAGUAAUGUGAAUUGCAGAAUUCCGUGAAUCAUCGAAUCUUUGAACGCACAUUGCGCCCCCUGGUAUUCCGGGGGGCAUGCCUGUCCGAGCGUCAUUGCAACCUUCAAGCGCGGCUUGUGUGUUGGGUCUCGUCCCCGUGGACGGGCCCGAAAGGCAGUGGCGGCGUCCCGACAUGGUGCCCGAGCGUAUGGGAAUCCUCUUCCGCUCGAAUCGGCCCAUGCGGCGCUGGUCGUAACCAAAUUUUUUACCGGUUGACCUCGGAUCAGGUAGGGAUACCCGCUGAACUUAAGCAUAUCAAUAAGCGGAGGA
rnacentral:misc_RNA from 1 species